CUGCGGAGGACAUUAAUGAAUACAGAUGCCUGUCGAGCUUGCUCACGGGUUUUCUAUCAUAUCCAUAACACCUGUGCACUUGUUGGAUGUUCUAAAGACGUAGGCUUAAAGCUGAAGUCAAUAGUCAUCCACUUACACUAAACAAUAAUGUAACAAAUGUAGUCUUAUUAUAACAUAAUAAAACUUUCAACAACGGAUCUCUUGGCUCUCGCAUCGAUGAAGAACGCAGCGAAAUGCGAUAAGUAAUGUGAAUUGCAGAAUUCAGUGAAUCAUCGAAUCUUUGAACGCACCUUGCGCUCCUUGGUAUUCCGAGGAGCAUGCCUGUUUGAGUGUCAUGAAAACCCUCAACCUUAGAUUGGUUAUUUGACCUUUCUUUGGCUUGGAUUUGGACGUUUGCCGAUGUCAAGUCGGCUCGUCUUAAAAGUAAUAGCUGGAUCUGUCUCGCGACAUGGUUUGACUUGGCGUAAUAAGUAUUUCGCUAAGGACAUCUUCGGAUGGCCCUGUUGCAGGACUAAAGACCGCUUUCUAAUCCAUUGAUCUUCGGAUUAAUAUUCAUAACAU
rnacentral:misc_RNA from 1 species